rnacentral:rRNA from 1 species
GGUGGGCACUCUAGAUAGACUGCCGGUGACAAACCGGAGGAAGGUGGGGAUGACGUCAAAUCAUCAUGCCCCUUAUGACCUGGGCUACACACGUACUACAAUGGCCGGUACAACGGGCUGCGAAAUCGCGAGAUGGAGCCAAUCCCAACAAAGCCGGUCUCAGUUCGGAUUGCAGGCUGCAACUCGCCUGCAUGAAGUCGGAAUUGCUAGUAAUCGCGGAUCAGC